rnacentral:rRNA from 1 species
CGGCAGGCCUACACAUGCAAGUGAGGGGUAGGUUCAGCUUGCUGAACACACGACGGCGCACGGGUGAGUAACGCGUUUGCAUUUACCUCUAACUGGAAGAUAGCCCGAAGAAAUUCGGAUUAAUACUCCAUAAUAUUAGGAAUUCGCAUGAUUUCCUAAUUAAAGCUCCGGCGGUUAGAGAUGAGCAUGCGUGUCAUUAGCUAGUUGGUAAGGUAACGGCUUACCAAGGCGACGAUGACUAGGGGGUCUGAGAGGAUGGUCCCCCACACUGGUACUGAGACACGGACCAGACUCCUACGGGAGGCAGCAGUGAGGAAUAUUGGGCAAUGGGCGCAAGCCUGACCCAGCCAUGCCGCGUGCAGGAUGACUGCCCUAUGGGUUGUAAACUGCUUUUAUACGGGAAGAAUGGUUCCUACGUGUAGGGAUUUGACGGUACCGUAAGAAUAAGCAUCGGCUAACUCCGUGCCAGCAGCCGCGGUAAUACGGAGGAUGCAAGCGUUAUCCGGAUUCAUUGGGUUUAAAGGGUGCGCAGGCGGAAUAUUAAGUCAGUGGUGAAAUCCUGCAGCUUAACUGUAGAACUGCCAUUGAUACUGAUAUUCUUGAAUAUAGUUGAGGUGGGCGGAAUGUGUAAUGUAGCGGUGAAAUGCUUAGAUAUUACACAGAACACCGAUUGCGAAGGCAGCUCACUAAACUAAUAUUGACGCUGAGGCACGAAAGCGUGGGGAGCGAACAGGAUUAGAUACCCUGGUAGUCCACGCUGUAAACGAUGAUCACUCGCUGUUGGCAAUACAUCGUCAGCGGCCGAGCGAAAGCAUUAAGUGAUCCACCUGGGGAAUACGAUCGCAAGAUUGAAACUUCAAAGGAAUUGACGGGGGCCCGCACAAGCGGAGGAACCUGUGGUUUAAUUCGAUGAUACGCG